UAAUGUCUGGGAAACUGCCUGAUGGAGGGGGAUAACUACUGGAAACGGUAGCUAAUACCGCAUAACGUCGCAAGACCAAAGAGGGGGACCUUCGGGCCUCUUGCCAUCAGAUGUGCCCAGAUGGGAUUAGCUAGUAGGUGGGGUAAUGGCUCACCUAGGCGACGAUCCCUAGCUGGUCUGAGAGGAUGACCAGCCACACUGGAACUGAGACACGGUCCAGACUCCUACGGGAGGCAGCAGUGGGGAAUAUUGCACAAUGGGCGCAAGCCUGAU
rnacentral:rRNA from 2 species